ensembl:lncRNA
GGGCAACGUCAAGACCUCAAGGUAGAAAGAGUCAACCAACAAGUGUUUCAACAAGGCUUGAACACAAUGAUCAUGUUCAUCCUCAUCCUGUGUGCUUGUCAAGAGAGACCAUGGUCCAAAACACAGCCAAGAAGAUUUUUCCAGCAAAGAUCUAUUGGACUUCUACAGGAACGAUAAUGGAGGGAAGUGACCUAGUGGUAAAAUGUAGUACACAUGGGCGCAAGGAAGAUAUAGUGGCAUAUGUUUACUUGUGCAUUAACGGAGUUGCAGUGGAUCAGAAGAAAACUAUACAAGAAGACACCCUUUUCACCAUGAAAAGUGUUACUGGCCAACAGGCUGGCAAUUACAGCUGUGUGUUCUCUAAAACCCAGUAUCCAUUCUCUGAAGUGCAGGGAAAAGGAGAUAAUUAUCUUUCCAUCCAGGUGAUGGACCGUAUACUCCCUGCAGACAUAUCACUUGC